GCCUUACACAUGCAAGUCGAGCGGCAUGCACUGGACUUCGGUCUGGUGGCCAGUGGCGAACGGGUGAGUAAUGUAUCGGAACCUGCCCGGUAGCGGGGGAUAACUACCCGAAACCGUAGCUAAUACCGCAUACGCCCUACGGGGGAAAGUGGGGGAUCGCAAGACCUUGCACUAUUGGAGCGGCCGAUAUCGGAUUAGCUAGUUGGUGGGGUAACGGCUCACCAAGGCGACGAUCCGUAGCUGGUUUGAGAGGACGACCAGCCACACUGGGACUGAGACACGGCCCAGACUCCUACGGGAGGCAGCAGUGGGGAAUUUUGGACAAUGGGGGAAACCCUGAUCCAGCCAUCCCGCGUGUGCGAUGAAGGCCUUCGGGUUGUAAAGCACUUUUGGCAGGAAAGAAACGUCGCGGGUUAAUACCCCGCGGAACUGACGGUACCUGCAGAAUAAGCACCGGCUAACUUCGUGCCAGCAGCCGCGGUAAUACGUAGGGUGCAAGAGAUUUUAAAUCCGAAUAUUAACUGGGACGUAAAGCCUUAGCGCGAGACCGGCUUAGGUAAAGAAAUGAUAUCACAAUGCCCAUGAGCCUUAACUUUGGACACUCCAUUUUUAACUAGCCGGGCGUAGAGUGUGUCAGAGGGAGGAUGGAAUUCCUGUCGUCGUAGCAAGUGAAAAUGAGUAAAAGAUAUGCGGACGCCAACACCGAUAGGCGAAAGCCAGCCUGUCCUGGGAUAACACUGACGCUCAUGACACGAAAGGCGUGCGGAGCAAACAAGAUUACCAUACCCUGGUAGUCCACGCCCGAAAACGAUGUCAACUAGCUGUUGGGGCAUCUUCGAACGUUGGUAGCGCAGCCUAACGAGUGAAGUUGACCGCCUGGGGGAGUACGCUCCCAGAGAUAAUAACUCAAAGGAAUUGACGCGGACCCGCACAAGCCGGUGGAUGAUGUGGAUUAAUCGGAUGCAAAGCGAAAAAUCCUUACCUACCCCUGACAUGUAUGGAAUCCCGAAGAGAUUUGGGCGUGCUCGCAAGAGAACACGAACACAGGUGGGGCAUGGCUGUCUUCAGUUCGUGUAGUGAGAUGUUGGGUUAAGUCCCGCAACGAGCGCAACCCUUGUCAUUAGUUGCUUCGAAAGGGCACUCUAAUGAGACUGCCGGUGACAAACCGGAGGAAGGUGGGGAUGACGUCAAGUCCUCAUGGCCCUUAUGGGUAGGGCUUCACACGUCAUACAAUGGUCGGGACAGAGGGUCGCCAACCCGCGAGGGGGAGCCAAUCCCAGAAACCCGAUCGUAGUCCGGAUCGCAGUCUGCAACUCGACUGCGUGAAGUCGGAAUCGCUAGUAAUCGUGGAUCAGCAUGUCGCGGUGAAUACGUUCCCGGGUCUUGUACACACCGCCCGUCACACCAUGGGAGUGGGUUGGACCAGAAGUAGUUAGCCUAACCGCAAGGAGGACGGUUACC
rnacentral:rRNA from 1 species